UGUAUUAUGAACACUUCACUAUUACUCUUGUUAUAUACAUUUAUUUUGGAUGCCAGAGGAACAAAAGCGCUAUCCUGCUCAAGUGGAUUACAUCAAAAAUGUCAAUUUACUUCAACAAGCAAUUCAACAUUGCAUUGCGAAUGCGUUCCAUUAACUGCUGACUGGACUCCUUGGGGUUCCUGGUCUCUCUGCAGUGUAACGUGUGGUGAGGGAAAUCACACGAGACAAAGGAGCUGUGUAGGUCCACAUGGAGCUGCUUGUCAUGGAAAUUCAACAGAUGUACAGCCAUGUACAGAAAUGAAAGUGUG